rnacentral:misc_RNA from 1 species
GAUGACGAACGUAGUGAAAUGCGAUACGUAAUGUGAAUUGCAGAAUUCAGUGAAUCAUCGAGUCUUUGAACGCACAUUGCGCCCCCUGGUAUUCCGGGGGGCAUGCCUGUCCGAGCGUCAUUGCUGCCCUCAAGCACGGCUUGUGUGUUGGGCCUCCGUCCUCCUCCCGGGGGACGGGCCCGAAAGGCAGCGGCGGCACCGCGUCCGGUCCUCGAGCGUAUGGGGCUUCGUCACCCGCUCUUGUAGGCCCGGCCGGCGCUUGCCGACACAUCAAUCUUUUUUCCAGGUUGACCUCGGAUCAGGUAGGGAUACCCGCUGAACUUAAGCAUAUCAAUAAGCGGAGGA